GUGAGAUCAUUCUGCUUCUCCCCCUCUUCCUUGGCCAUGCAUUUCCAUUUUUCUGGUGGCCAUGGCAAGCUGAACUAGAAGAAAACAAACCUCACCAUAAAAAACCAGAUGAAGCAUUACUAUGCUGAGAAGACAGUGUCAUGUGAAAGCCUGCCAGACAACCCAGACGGAGCACCAUAAAGAGCUGUCUGAUUUCAAGACCUGAUGGCUGUGUAUGUAGAAGUUCACAGACUUGCAGAUCAGAUUGAAACAGAAAUUGAUUCCAGUCCUAGAAAAGCAAAGGAGGAAAACACUGAGAAGGCCAUGCUAGAAAGAUGGCACCUCUCCCCACUAUAAGGCAGCCUUGGAGUGGUAUCAUUUCUUCCAGGCUAGAUACAGCUUGGGCUCACACCACCAGGUUGUAUGCAAGCACAGAAAGAGGAAUUCAUUAUCCCACAGGCAACUUUUCCUCCUCCUGGGAAAAUAAUGGUGAAUUGUUUCUUAGAGCCCUAUAUAUCAAAAAGCUAUUUUUUUAAUAUGAAAAAGAAAAAAACCCCCAAAAAUAUAAAAGCUCUCAAAACUGACAUUUCAUAUUCUAUCUGAGAAGGCAGAUAAAGCUACAUAAUUAGUCAGGGAAGGAUCACUCCCUUUCUCCCUGCAGCCUCCAGAGGAUAAACUCCAGAUAAGCCUUUCAGAGACUGCAGAGCUCCAACUGCAGAGGGUUUUAGUCUGUGAAAGAUGUUCGGAGCACACAAUAAUUAGCAGCUCACAGCUGAAUUUUGCUAGCUGUCAUAGUAUUUGUUGCUAUCACUGCAUGAAAGUGCUCCUGUAGGUCUCCUGAGUUUUCCUAAAUGUGUGCUGUAGUCUGAUUUGUCCACACAGAACUUUUUAAUAGAAAAUUUGGUCAGUGUACAAUACUUAAAGGCUUACAGCAAAUCCCUUUUCCAUGGCAGAACACCACCUGGACAGAAUGAGAAAAUAAAACUUCUUUUCCUGGACAAAGCAGGAACUCCUUUACUCUUUAUACUGUGUCUAGGCCCUUACAAUCCAGGGGGAUUCAGUAUGCUGGGAAAAUCAAUGGGUAGCCUGCUAAUCCAAAUCCACAUCUUUGUAUCCCCAAAUCAGUACUCAAGAGUUCUGGCAGAAGACAGGCCUUUUCUUAAGACUUACCCUUCAUCUCUGCUUGCACGGUUUUUAAGUCCCAGUGGGAAAACUGUAGAGAAGCUGGGAGAAAGACAGUAAAUAUAUUGUAAUUCCUUUAAACUGAAUUGAGAUUCACCUCUGUUUUAAGAAGAGCUGCCUGGGUUACCUUAAAUUCACUAUGUGCUAAGUGUUUCAGGACUGAUACUGUUUUUGAGAUAGUUUUCAUUACUACUGCUUUCCAGACUGCAGUCUCAGAUUUGUAUAAAAUUCUUACAAGUAUUUCUAACCUUUAAUUACAAUUCACUUAAUGGUAAAUGUGCUUAUGCUGUCUCUUUUCUCAUCCAAAACAGCUGUUCAAGUUCUUAAUCUGUGGGCUGUGCUUUGUUUGCAGCAGUUGAUGUCUGUCCUGUUACUGUAUUUUAUCUUUUUCAGGCAUACUUAGCUUACCUUCUCAGCUUCCAUGGUCUCUCUAUGCCCCCCGAAAACCAGCUGCUGGGAGCUAUAUAUGCAUAACAUCUAUACACUUAACAAAGCUUUCAUUGUCUUUCAAUCCAAUUGCAAAGGUCGUUUUCUCAGCUCAUUGUCCCAGUGCUGUCACUCCUCUUUUUUUGCACAAUGCCAUUGGUUCAUUUUCUUCACUGCGUGAAAUACAAAUGACUUCUCUUUACUUUUCAAGCCAUGUCUAAUCUACAUCACUGAGAAAUAUCCUUCACUACCAUUAUACAAAUGAUACCAGUCUUAUACAUUCACUUUCAUGCUGCUGAUUAUGCAUAGCACAAAAUCUGUGUAAUACCCCUAAACCCCUCUUUCUCUGCUUUUUCAAGCAUCAGGUCUCUGCCUUGAGCUUUGUCAGAGUCUGAGCAUAGCUACGUAACUCUUGCUAGAGAUGCUUUUUCAUAUGAACCAGUUACAACCUGUUCCUUCACAUGUCUCUAUAAGGUACUUCAGAGGCAAAAUAG